rnacentral:rRNA from 1 species
GAUGAACGCUAGCGGCAGGCCUAAUACAUGCAAGUCGAACGAGAUUAGUAGCAAUACUAUGAAAGUGGCGCACGGGUGCGUAACACGUAUGCAAUCUACCUUUAAUUGGAGAAUAGCCUCGAGAAAUCGGGAUUAAUACUCCAUAACAUUAUGAAAUGGCAUCAUUUUAUAAUUAAACCUCCGGGGAUUAAAGAUGAGCAUGCGCAACAUUAGCUAGUUGGUAAGGUAAUGGCUUACCAAGGCUACGAUGUUUAGGGGGUCUGAGAGGAUGAUCCCCCACACUGGUACUGAGACACGGACCAGACUCCUACGGGAGGCAGCAGUAGGGAAUAUUGGGCAAUGGAGGCAACUCUGACCCAGCCAUGCCGCGUGCAGGAUGACGGCCCUCUGGGUUGUAAACUGCUUUUAUACGGGAAGAAAAAGUACUACGUGUAGUAUAUUGACGGUACCGUAAGAAUAAGGAUCGGCUAACUCCGUGCCAGCAGCCGCGGUAAAGUAGUCG